rnacentral:rRNA from 1 species
GUGGGGAAUAUUGGACAAAGGGGCGAAAGCCUGAUUCCANCCAUUCCCGCUUGUGUGAAGAAGGUUUUUCGGAUUGUAAAGCACUUUAAAGUUGGGAGGAAAGGCCAGUAAGUUAAAUACCUUGCUUUUUUUUGGCGUUACCAACAAGAAUAAGGGGCCGGGCUAAACUUCGUNCCCGCAGCCGCGGUAAUACGAAAGGGGAGCAAGCGUUAAUCGGAUUACUGCGCGUAAAGCGCGCGUAGGUGGUUCAGCAAGUUGGAUGUGAANUCACCGGGCUCAACCUGGGAACCGCAUCCAAAACUACUGAGGUAGAGUACNGUAGAGGGUCCAGAAUUUCCUGUGUAGCGGUGAAAUGCUUAGAUAUUUGNUGGAACCGCAGUGGCGAAGAUAAGNCCUAGCCCCAGNNNGAAGGUGACNCCUGGAAGAUACUGNCAUGAGGUCGAAAGCGUGGGGCCAAACAGGAUUANAUCCCUGGUGNCCNCCCUGUAANCGAUUCGCCUACCGUUUGGNUCUUAGUUUUAGCGCGCUAAUUCGACAGCCUGGGGAGUNCGGCCGCAAGGUUA